rnacentral:rRNA from 1 species
GACGAACGCUAGCGGCGUGCUUAACACAUGCAAGUCGAACGAUGAACCCGGAGCUUGCUCCGGUGGAUUAGUGGCGAACGGGUGAGUAACACGUGAGUAACCUGCCCUUGACUCUGGGAUAACUGCGGGAAACUGUAGCUAAUACCGGAUACGACCCUCGGCGGCAUCGCCAGGGGGUGGAAAGAAUUUCGGUCAAGGAUGGACUCGCGGCCUAUCAGCUAGUUGGUGAGGUAACGGCUCACCAAGGCGACGACGGGUAGCCGGCCUGAGAGGGUGACCGGCCACACUGGGACUGAGACACGGCCCAGACUCCUACGGGAGGCAGCAGUGGGGAAUAUUGCACAAUGGGCGCAAGCCUGAUGCAGCAACGCCGCGUGAGGGAUGACGGCCUUCGGGUUGUAAACCUCUUUUAGUAGGGAAGAAGCGAAAGAGACGGUACCUGCAGAAAAAGCACCGGCUAACUACGUGCCAGCAGCCGCCGUAA